rnacentral:rRNA from 1 species
GUGGGGAAUUUUGGACAAUGGGCGCAAGCCUGAUCCAGCAAUGCCGCGUGCAGGAAGAAGGCCUUCGGGUUGUAAACUGCUUUUGUACGGAACGAAACGGUCCGGGUUAAUACCCUGGGCUAAUGACGGUACCGUAAGAAUAAGCACCGGCUAACUACGUGCCAGCAGCCGCGGUAAUACGUAGGGUGCAAGCGUUAAUCGGAAUUACUGGGCGUAAAGCGUGCGCAGGCGGUUUUGUAAGACAGGCGUGAAAUCCCCGGGCUCAACCUGGGAAUUGCGCUUGUGACUGCAAGGCUGGAGUGCGGCAGAGGGGGAUGGAAUUCCGCGUGUAGCAGUGAAAUGCGUAGAUAUGCGGAGGAACACCGAUGGCGAAGGCAAUCCCCUGGGCCUGCACUGACGCUCAUGCACGAAAGCGUGGGGAGCAAACAGGAUUAGAAACCCAGGUAGUCC